AGUGAACGCUGGCGGUAGGCCUAACACAUGCAAGUCGAACGGCAGCACAGUAAGAGCUUGCUCUUACGGGUGGCGAGUGGCGGACGGGUGAGGAAUACAUCGGAAUCUACUUUUUCGUGGGGGAUAACGUAGGGAAACUUACGCUAAUACCGCAUACGACCUACGGGUGAAAGCAGGGGAUCUUCGGACCUUGCGCGAUUGAAUGAGCCGAUGUCGGAUUAGCUAGUUGGCGGGGUAAAGGCCCACCAAGGCGACGAUCCGUAGCUGGUCUGAGAGGAUGAUCACCCAAACUGGAACUGAAACACGGCCCAAACUCCUACGGGGGGCAGCAGGGGGGAAUAUUGGACAAUGGGGGCAAGCCUAACCCAGCCAUGCCGGGGGGGGGAAGAAGGCCUUCGGGUUGAAAAGCCUUUUUGUUGGGAAAAAAAAGCAGCAGGUUAAUACCCCGCUGUUCUGAAGGUACCCAAAGAAAAAGCACCGGCUAAUUUCGU
rnacentral:rRNA from 1 species